UUCUUCAUUUCAUUUUCCUCUCUUCACCUUGCGCCGCUCGCCCUGUCGCCCAGUCUCUCGUGAGUCUCGCCUCCUCUCUCGUCUCUCCUCCGGCCUCCACUCUCCAGCGCCGUUCGGACCUCUUCGCUCAUCUCGUCUCCGCCGCCACUGCUACACUGAAAGGGUUUGAUCGAGCUUUGGAGAAGUAUGAAAUUUUCGGAGGGGUAUCUAGUUUUGGGUGAAGAUCUUUGUAUUUGUGGUCAGAAUCAUUUUUUGUUGGCAUUCAGGAGUUGGAGGAAUUUGUGAAAAGCUAGAUGACGAUCAAUCAAGG